AGUGUAGCACCAAUGUCGUGGCUGGCUUAUUUCUUCUGCCGAAGCAAAGGCAUGGAACCCUGCUUGAUGUCUCGUCAUGACGAUUGGACACUUUGCUUUGGGAUAUUUGCUGCUCUUUCUUCGCCGCCACUGCCGAUUCCAAGAAAUUACGCAAAAUACCAAGGAUACAUGGCUCCCUCUGUAACACUACUAGGGAUUGCAACGUUGGUCAGAAGCUGGCAUGUCUUCUGGUAAAUGGAAGUAAAAUCAUAGAGUGCAUACCGCAUAAUAUAAGGUGCGAAGUCUACUGGCAAUGGUAUUGCCGAAGGCCGUUUGUUCCCCAAUGCAGGAAUGAGCCCACGGAGUGCAAAUGCUGUUGUGGGCGAAGCGACCAUUGGUUUACAAGGCUUUUUAGGUGUGUCGUCUAAAUACCUUCUGCUGAAUGCUACAAACACGUCCAGCACUCCUAUAAACAUACACGUUUUGAGGACCUCAGAAAUAUGAGAGAAGAGUUAUCCCUGGUAGUAGGUAUUAGGAUUAAGACUCAAUAAUUAUUCACUUUAAAUGAUUGUAGAGAGUGAGGAAGUUCUCUUUGGUAUGCAAAAAAAAAAUUAUUUCCUUCUGCGCAUAUUCUCAACUUAUUACUCUGGUAGCGCCUUUGCUCCGACGUCUUCUGAUAAAUGUUUGACAAAAACUUCAUAGGCUGGUUUCUGCAUUUUAUAGGAGAGAAAGAAGAAAUAAAUGCCAUAACCAGAAUUUCACAAUAAUUUUCUUUCGUAAUGUUUCCAUAUCUUCGAGGUAGUAGUAUUUUUAACAAAUAUCAAAACAACUUUCUAGUACUUUCAUUUAUUCUGAGCUUUCAGUAAAUACCUACUGUACCAGGUUUGCUGCUAACAAUAAUUUUUUCCUACCUAUGGCUUCUACUAAUUACGGUAAAUCAUCUUCAUUCUUCUGGGAGAUCACAUUAUGGAAUCAUUUACCUAUGUCUCUAAAAUCAAUUUUCUUUAAUUUCGUUCACACAUUCAUUAAAAGAUUGUCAAAUGUUUGAUCUUCGUACUUCUUUUGUACUAGAUUUGUGUUUCGAUAUAUCCUGUAGUUAUUUCUCAAGUUCUUCAUUUUUUGCUUUCAGGCGUUUUGUUUUUUAUUCCGUUAUGCUUACUGUUAUUUCAUACUUGACAUAUCGGGUCUAUUGUUCGCACUGCUGCUAAUCCUAGUAUUAUUUCUGUGGGAUUUUCACUGAGGGUUCCAUUGCAGUCUUGUACUUUGGGACCCUCGUCGGUAUAUUUUAUGUGAUGUAAUUAACCCACGAUGUAAUAAUAAUACUACAGUGAUUGAUUGAUUGAUUGAUUGAUUGAUUGAUUGAUUGAUUGAUUGAUUGAAUAUGACAGUAAGCAGCUAUGAUUACAGAGUGUUAUCGUGACGAUGCAAUGAAACCGAAGCACACAAGCAGACUGGUCCCUUAUUGCUGGGAACGCGCUCCAAUCGUCUUUCUCAGGCCCCACCACAGUAUACUUGGGGGCCUGAAUAUAGACUUAGUUACAGACUUUUCUUCCAAAAUGUAUGCAUAUUUCAACUGAGUGAAAUCAUGCUCCAUAUACGACUCGUGCAUGACCGUCAAAGCCUAAAUAUGCGCGUGCCCUCAUUGGUUUUAUGUUUAGUUGCAGAGCAACACCCAGAAAAUGCAUUCUUAGAGCAUGCACGCCAACUUGAGUACUGAUGUGUUCAUGACAAGUCGACCCAACAACAGCUGCUGUGCCGCUGUCAUUCAGCAUGCCUUUGCAUCUUCAAAGAUAGAUAUUAUCUGUUGCACGAAUGUAAAGCUAGGCGCCCAACUAAUUUAUCAUGUCAAUCUGCUCACAUUAUAUGGUCUCGCCUGGUGUUACCGCAAAUUUGCGCCCUGCUAUUACUCACUCUCUGCAGUAUCGAGUAGUGAAUACUGACUCUAGACAAAAAACUCAGUUCCUCUAUAAUAUUUCGCAAGAAAAUUUUAUUGCAGAACGUCGACUUCACUAGAUCAAGUCAAGCAUGGGCUUCAAGUUAGGGUCCAUUUCAAGUUAGGGUUGCAGUUACGGUGCAUCCCUGUCAAAGACUUGUAUCAUCCCUUGUCGAAAGUUUGGUCUAGUGACAUUCCUCAUUCGACGACUGUUAAUCUCUCCAAGCUUCCCCCUUCCUUUAAAUUUUCUUCUUCGUUGCCUACACCUAUGCAAUUUUAAACCCGUACGAUCCAUAACUCAUCAAAAUUUUCGAUUAUAUAGAGACGAUAAUGGCCUUCCACUGAAAGACAAUGAACGCAAACCCUUACGUUCCGCUCUUUGCAUUAUCUUUCAAUCUUCUCGCGUUAGCUUUUGCAUCGGCUAGAACCCUGGGUACUGCUUGUAUAUGAGCUAAAUCGAUUACUCCGUCUUUUCGUGUUUAAUGUCGCGCCCAUGAUCAUGCUUUAUCUACCUCUUUCCCAAUACCGUCCACAUUGUGCCCACAUUGGCGUUCCACCACCAUCCUGAAAGGCAGGCGUGCGGGCCAGCUCAGGACACGCGUAGGAAUUUUGCUGGCCGCGUGGGUUCUUCUACAUGCCGUGAGGACCAAUCGCUCAUCUUGUACACUAGUCAUGACAAGUAACUGCACUUGUAAGUGAUGUGUAUAGUGCACACAUGCAUACUUAUCCGUUUUUCACACUCAUGGGCUACAGUACCGUCGUGAACUGCACAUGUCACCUAAAGAAGUGUAGGCUACAGCAGCCAUGUUUUCUUGCGCAGCGCAAAGAAUGAUAUGACGGACAGCGGUGGCUGCGACAAGCUGAUCCGACUGCGCGGCUCGAUACUCUAGCGCCUGCGAUGCCACUCCGGCCGAGCUAGGAUACGGGGCUGGGUUGCUGCAUCAGUACAUAAGAUAUCACAGCAUGCCGUGCUUCUUUUUUCGUGAAGUUUACUGUGACUGCAUCAGUAUUUGCAUACAACAGGAAAAACGCUGUAGCUCCUGCAGUCAAGACACCUUUCCGCAGCCGCUUUUGCAAUGUAGUAAACUCCGCCAUCCUUGCGAAAGCGCGGACACAUGCCAAAAUCUAUGCCACCUAUCUUGUUGCAGGGGACCGAGCUUGCGAAUGCAGGUAUAUACCAUGCAGCGAAGCCGAUAUGUGCAGGUGUAUGUCAGAACACUGGAGCACACUAAAUGAUACCUGUAACAAAACCCUCACGGCCAACAAACUACCUACGAGCGUCUUUCGCUCGCCCUCUCGUCUGCCUUUUCACCAUGGCGGCGUAAAGUCGAUGUGGGCAUAGGGUUGUUCUUAUUGUGCAAGAUGCAUAUAUUGCUCAAUGUGCGGCCCUUGAAUUUAUGACUGAUUGACCGAAAAAGCCGGCGUCUGUAGCCGCGAAACAGCACCAAAAUUCUCAUUGGCUGCGCCACCACGUCAUGUGCGCGCCUCGACGGUGCAGCUGUGCAGCUGCUGCCGCCCUGGCACCUCAGGUGUUGCGUGAGGGGAGGGGGUGCGACGCCACGUGACCCUCGGUCUCGGAAGCCUGUGUUAUCCGUGCGUUCCAGGACAAAUCAGCAUGUGUGCUGCAUGUACAAUCCACGCUCUCAAAAAGCUCUCCUCCGGCAUGACAGCGCUCACUCAAAACUGAUCAAAAGGGGGAUAAUACCCCCUUGCCUGAGCGCAGCGCUAGCAAAACAUACGUGUACUACGUCCUGCGCAGUUUCGUGACCCGAGUCGGUUGCUUUCGUAGCACAAGGUGCCCGCUCACCCUGGCUUCCAGCGUGCGCGAAGGCCUAUACUGAACACGUCGACACGCACACACCACGAGGAGCGUAGCAUAAAGAAUCGCCCCUUUGAUGUCCUUGCUUUCGUUCGUGUCUGGUCGCAUAAAGUAAAAAUGCUGGCAAAAGGACACAACGCGAAGGUUGUUUUGUCUGCACAGCACAAAUAGCCGCAGAUCUGCACCUCGAUGGAAAAGAAAGAAAAGGGGCAUUGCAGAACCAACUCAACACCAAGAUAACAAAAUGCGUUUCUGGCGUUGUUUACGUCAUUCCACUCAGCUGCGGUAAGGAAUUCAUCGGCCAGAGUGGUCGAUGCUUUAAUAAGAAGGCACACGAGUGCAGAACUAACGUGAAGAGUGGAUACAGUAGCCACAUGACUGUAGAUGUUAAGAGCUGUGGGUGUUUUCUAAAACUUUAGCACGGGAGGUUCCAUCGCCAAAAUCUGUGACAGGACUGAAAGAGAGGUAGUUCUGGCUUUUCGCAUUAGGAAACAGGGCUCGAGAUGCGUCAAUAAGCCGUCACUGUUUGUGCCGAAGGAAGCGUCGUUUUCGGUAGGGCAUUUAACCUUCUUCUAGCCACCAUCAAGCUAUGUGUCUUUGUGUAGUCGCGGUUACUACGCGUGGUAUACUGUUUCUCUUGUGCCGCUCGUAAAGUAAGUAUGCCUCCUGCUUUGAUAGUGUUUGUGGUAUGAAAGUUUUCCUCUUCCUGAAGGAAUAAAAUCCGUUCGUAGCUGA